rnacentral:rRNA from 1 species
AACGAACGCUGGCGGCAGGCCUAACACAUGCAAGUCGAGCGAGGACUCCGGUCUUGGCGUCGGGGGGGUUGGUAACCCGUUGGAACGUGCCUUUUGCUUUGCAUUAUCCUUGGGAAUCUGGCGUUAAUACCGGAUUUGCCCUUUGGUGGAAAGUUUUGUCGGCGAAGGUUGGGCCCGCGUUGUAUUAGGUUGUUGGUGGGGUAAUGGCGUACCAAUCCGACGAUCCAUAGCUGGUUUGAGAGGAUGAUCAGCCACACUGGGAUUGGGACACGGCCCAGACUCCUACGGGAGGCAGCAGUGGGGAAUCUUAGACAAUGGGGGAAACCCUGAUCUAGCCAUGCCGGGUGAGCGAUGAAGGCCUUAGGGUUGUAAAGCUCUUUCAGCUGGGAAGAUAAUGACGGUACCAGCAGAAGAAGCCCCGGCUAACUCCGUG